CUACUCGUUCUCUCUCUCUCUCUCUCUCUCUCUCUCUCUCUCUCUCUCUCUCUCUCUCUCUCUUCCCUCUACGAUUAUAUUCUCUCCUCAUAAAUAAAUUAUCUAAAAUUUUCAUUUUUUCACCCCGAUCCAAGAUUUUAUUUUUACUGUUUUUACGACGGUUAAUAUUUAUUUAAUUGUGUUGGCUGACGUGGCAUGCAACCAAUAAAAAAGCACCAUGAACACCAAAACUAUGCGUCUUCCGCCACGUCGCGUUCAAACGCCAGACAAACGCAAAGAAAGAGACGGCGUUAUAUCCUCCGUCGUCCAAAAACCGCCGGAAACCUCCGUGAAGAAGCUUCCUCCGCCGCAUGUUGUUAACCGUCCGCCGGUUAAUUCCAAUACUAAUAAAUCCCUAAUCGCAGCCGAGCCGGUCGGCUCGAACCAGCUAAUUUUAGCGGGUUACUUGAGUCACGAGUUUCUCACCAACGGCACACUGUUCGGUGAGCAAUGGGAUCCGGCUCGAGCACAAGCCGGUGCGACCGAGUCGAAGAAGUUAAAGCGGAGCCAUAUUAGUGAGCCGGCUGAGGAAAGUGAGCCGAAAAGGAAGAGGUAUGUGGAGGUUGCUAAUCUUCUACGGUCUGACGGGGCCCACCUGCCCGGCAUCGUCAAUCCUGCCCAGCUUGCCCGUUUUCUCAAACUGUGAUCGCGUGUACACGUGUAAACAGAUCGUUGGUCCGUCGUUUGGGAAGCAAAACAGCUCUAAAACGGGAACCUCCUCCCUCCUCUCUAUCUCUAUCCUUUUUUUUUUUCCUCUCAAAUGUUUUUAAAUCAUCUAUGUAAAGCUGAAACUCGCUCUCUUCGUCGUCUUCCUCGAGAUUGAUCGAGAAAGCUUAGGGUUUGUUGUGAGGUAGAUGUUCAUGUCUUUGUACAUCAGACGUAUCAACUAGCCAAUCGAUUAAUAUUCUCAAGUUUUAAUUUAAUUUUUGUGGAUUUUUGAUGGUAUGAUGGUGAAUUGUAUGAAUCCGAUCAAUACAUGACGCAAAACUAUGAUAAAUAUUAUGUUGAUUAUUUAAUUCGGUCGAUGAUGAUGAUAAUUGUGAUCAUAAACAGAUGAUUGUCUAUGUCGUUGAGCUUCUUAGUUGAAUUCGAUUUGAUCUUUAUAGUGACGAGCUUGUGUUUGAAGCCUAUAGUUUGUUCUUGCUUUCUUAAAGGACAUGGAUCGUUUAUGGAUUAAUUAAAAAAAAGAACAGAACUUGAAACUUAUUCUCAGUCUUUGGAUCCUCAGUACUUGCUUUGGCCCAAUUGUCAGAUUAUCUUCGUCCGCUUUGGUUUAUUUGUAUUUGACAAUGCCUCCCCCUUCACGUCCACAGCACUUUCGUACGAGAUGUUCUUGCGUAUUUUGGCCAGUAACUUUGAUCAUCUCUAGCGUGAUGUUAGUUAGGUGUUUGUUGUAGAUUUCAUUUCAACACACACAAUGUAAUGAAGUCAUGAUCUCUCCCUCGUGGAUUACGAUUUGUACACUAAUAUGGCAGAACAUAACCAAUAAAUGUAGCCUCUAAACAGAAUAAUCUUUUUAUGAAGCUAUUGUUUUUUAAAAAAAUUGUAUCAAUUAGUGGCCAAUAAUUGAUCUGUUUUUACUAACAACUGCUGAUUUCCAUUCAGUUUUACCAAAUUAAGAUUACAAUACAUAACAAAUAUAUACAUUAAUUAGUUUUAAUCCACUUACAACUUGAUUUCGUUCGCUUAGUUUUUUUUGUUCUUAACUGGGCAUCGUAAUACAGUUUAUUAGCUCUCAGCAUUCUUUUUUUUUUUUUUGUUAACAAGACAAGCACGUACAUAAUAGCUUCUUCUUCCUCCUUUUUUUUCUUAGUUACUAUUUUGAUUUGGUUUGGCAAUUACAUUAUGGCCAACUACAAAAUGAAAAGCCUCUUGAAGGGUCUUAGGUACAUUUCUCAUAUGUUUGGUGAGUAAUUUUACAUUUGUGAAUAUAACUUAUAGGAAUUUUUGCCCUUGUAAUAGACUACUUGUUCAAAGAAAAUAAAUAAUAUGCUACUUUUAAAUCACCAAAAACUAUUAGUAUUAAUCUUUGUGAAACUGCGAAAUAUGAAGAAAACGAGAAAGAGCCAGAUCAGAUGCAAAUUGGAACUCCAACAGAUGUAAAGCAUGUUGCACACAUUGGUUGGUAUGGAGGAUCUGUCAAUCAAAACUCACCUAGCUGGGUAUAUAUAUACAUGUUUUCUCUAUAUUUCUGUAUAACGAUAUAGCAUCAUUAAUUAUAAACUAACAAUAGGUUUAAUGUAGAUGAAUGAUUUUAAAGCAUCGGGUGGUGGAUAUGCAUCUACGCCUCUAGGAAAUUAUAUCGUAGAGGAUGCCUCUGAAGGUAGCUCUAGUCAUAUUUAGCUACCUGUAGCUUUAGUCUAACAUAAAUAUAUAUUUUAAAUACAUUUCUUACAACGCAGUAUAUAUAAUGUAGAGAUGCUUACGUACGUGCAGAUUCAACUCGAGCACGUGACAUACCAAGACAUCCAAGAUCGUCGAGAGACGGUUUGAACAAUGUGGAUUCACCAAUAAAAGGACGAUCACGACGUGGAACCUUAAACUCUAGUGGGAAUCCAAAAACUUCACGGAGGUCAAAAGAAACUUGUGAUAAUCCUCAAGACGGUUCUAGAAAAUCUCGUAGAAGAAAAAACUAGAGAUUGUGCGAAUGAUGGAUCGUCGCGUAGCACAUGCAGAUCGGCAGACAUAAUCUAUAGUGUCUAUUAAAGAAUCAAUAAUAUCAAUCUCUGGUGAUAUAUAUGUUUAAGACGCAAGAUAUAAGUGUGGUCUUAUAAAACUAUCAUGUAGCUUUUAAGCUUUGGUUUGUCUUUCAUCUAACCGGUUGAGUUUAUCACAGCUCAUUUCACAAGAUAGAGUUAGUUAUUAGAUUAUAAUCAUGCAUGGUUUAGAGAAAACAAUUACGGUGUAAUUAAGAAGUUUACGUGCAGUCGUCAUGUUAUUUGGUUAGCAUCUUAAAACAAAUUAUGAGUAAAGAGAAUAAAUUAUCAUCCCUCAUUUUAAUGUUGUUUGUGAAUAUUUAAUUUUAAAACAGUUUCAUGGUUAAUGAUGCAUGUGUACACGAUCAUCCAGUUGCAUUAGAAAAAUUGUGUCUUUCUAUAGCAACACUUGUGUAUAGUUUAGGAUUGAGCCAUUUGUCUUGGACUCUUGGUCAAGGUCAACAAUUUAAAAACCAGAAAAUAUUAUUAAACCGAACUUAACCGGCUACAUAACCGGAUGAAAUCAGCGGUUUAUUACACAUUAUGAGUCUUCUCCACGGACACGGAGGAGGGUGGAGAGAAGACAUUAAAUCCGGAUUUUGAAUUCAAUAAACUUCUCUACGAAUGCGACUCUUGAAACGUUACCAUUGACAUUCCGACUUUCUCGGGGAGAGAGCUCUUCUACUCUUCUUCUUUCAGCGCAAGUUUGCUCUUUCUCACGAAACCUCUGGUGGUGAUAAUGUCUACGGCGAGUUUGUAUCGGAGGUUCCUUCCCUCUCCUCCGGCGAUAGAUUUCGCUUCUGUUGAAGGCAAGGUGCGUAUUAUCAUGGAAAUUGAAAUCAAGGUUUUUUUUUUUUUUUUUGUUAUCUGCUUGUGGUCAGUGACGAUCUUUGAUUUUGGUUUUCCGUAGAUUUUGUUCAUUGUCUUAGAGACUAGAUCUGAGUAUGUGAAUUAGCUAACAUCAAAAGACUGUUUAAAAAAAAAAAAAUAAUAAUAAUUUCAAGAUAGUUCAUUUGCAAUCAACAGUCACUGAGGAUUAAACUCAAUCGAGUCUCUCUGAAGAGUUUGAAAAUUCUAUUGUUUGCAGAAAAUCUUCAAUGAGGCGCUUCAGAAAGGAACCAUGGAAGGGUUCUUCAGGCUGAUCUCUUAUUUCCAGACGCAGUCCGAGCCUGCUUACUGUGGAUUAGCUAGUCUUUCCAUGGUUUUGAAUUCUCUCUCUAUUGACCCCGGGAGGAAAUGGAAAGGUAAUAUAUAUACUUCUAAUUCAUGACUUUUACAAGACCACAUUAGUUUCUUGAUUUUUCUUCUUCUUGUGUUUCUCUCUCUCUCUCUCGUAGGGCCUUGGAGGUGGUUUGAUGAAUCUAUGCUGGAGUGUUGCGAGCCACUUCAGAUAGUGAAGGAUAAGGGCAUUACGUUUGGGAAAGUUGUCUGUUUGGCUCAUAGCUCUGGUGCUAAAGUCCAAGCUUUCCGCACUACUCAGAGCACUAUUGAUGAUUUCCGCAAAUACGUCUUGAAAUGUUCCACUUCUGAUAAUUGUCAUAUGAUCUCAACAUAUCAUAGAGGAAUAUUCAAGCAGGUACAGCUUUUUUUUUGGGGGGCCUAAACUGUGUAUAAAUUAACAGUAAUAUGGCAUCUAGGUGAAUUUUAACACUACCCAUAAGGUGCUCCUGUGUAUCUGAAUGUCAUUAUGAAGUUUGAGAUUGCUGAAGUUCUUUAGUUUCUUGCUAGAAAGUUUCAUGUUGAUUGUGAUUUUAAUAACCCUGGUUGCAGACUGGAAAUGGCCAUUUUUCACCUAUUGGUGGCUAUAAUGCUGAAAGAGAUAUGGCUUUGAUUCUUGAUGUCGCUCGUUUCAAGUAUCCUCCUCAUUGGGUUCCUCUUAAGCUUCUUUGGGAUGCCAUGAACAGUAUUGAUCAGUCAACAGGGAGACAUAGAGGGUACAUUAUCUUUCUUUCGUUUUUUCUUAGCCUUUACUUCUAUGAUUGAAGAAGGUAAUCCUCUUCUAUCUUACGCAAUUGCCUUUUCUGAUGUUCUCCUUUACUUCCAGGUUCAUGCUUAUAUCUAGACCCCACAGAGAACCAGGAUUACUCUAUACUCUGGUAAGUCCAAAGUCCUGGUGCUAUUCAUAGUUACUGCUAGUUUGUCUUCAAUCCUUCACACUGUAGCUGUUAUUAGUAUUCUUAUCCUAAAACAAUUUUCACAUUGAUGUGAGUGUGAACUUUUAAGAGAACAUUUUGUUUCAAAGUUUGAGUGAGUGAUGAUUCCUGAUUAUAUAUUUCAGAGUUGUAAAGAUGAGAGCUGGACCAGCAUAGCAAAGUAUUUGAAGGAAGAUGUUCCUCUUCUUGUAAGCUCGCAGCAUGUUGAUACUAUUGAAAGAAUCUUGGAUGUUGUUUUUAAGUCACUUCCGUCAAACUUCAACCAAUUCAUCAGAUGGAUGGCUGAGAUAAGAAGAACAGAGGAUAUAAACCAAAAUCUCAGCUCAGAAGAGGAAUCAAGGCUCGACCUAAAGAUUGUGUUGGCUGACGUGGCAUGCAACCAAUAAAAACGCACCAUGAACACCAAAACUAUGCGUCUUCCGCCACGUCGCGUUCAAACGCCAGACAAACGCAAAGAAAGAGACGGCGUUAUAUCCUCCGUCGUCCAAAAACCGCCGGAAACCUCCGUGAAGAAGCUUCCUCCGCCGCAUGUUGUUAACCGUCCGCCGGUUAAUUCCAAUACUAAUAAAUCCCUAAUCGCAGCCGAGCCGGUCGGCUCGAACCAGCUAAUUUUAGCGGGUUACUUGAGUCACGAGUUUCUCACCAACGGCAC
rnacentral:lncRNA from 1 species